CAAAAUUCACCCAUUUAGAGUUCGGAAAUCGGUUCAAAAAAUACAUGGUCUUUUUUCUGCAACAUCAAGGUAUAUAUUGACGCUUGCAUAGGUUUGGUGAUAAUGUUCCCCUUUAAGGACUUGCAGGUAAAUAACACAGCACAAUCAGACUCCAUGGGGCGUUGUGAGUCUUGGACUACUUUUAUGCACAGUGACAAAUGUUGGCAGCUCUCCUUCACAGCCAGCCAUGUUGAAAGUGGCCUAGGCCGCUUCGAACAAACACAUAUCCACGUGCCAAGGCAAGAACGCACACACCAGGCCAGGUAAAGACCUCCCACAUAAUUGGAGGCCGUAAAAGACUGCUGCUGCCUGGAAGUGCAAAGGAGGUGACGUUACUCCCCACUGCUACUUGACAACAACAGGUGACGUCCAUUAGGCGCUUAACGGCCUAACAAAUUACCCAACGCUGCGGCCUACGAGAUGGAAGAAUGCGGCAAUUUUUUUUACGGGCAAUUGUCGCAACGUUAUCAGCUGGCAAUAAAAAAGGAAGAUGAAGAAGGACAAACGGGGUGGGAGACACGUGGCCCCCCGAGGGUCUGCGUGCAGGAAGACAAGGUGUGUGUGUGUGUGUGUGUGUGUGUGUGUGUGUGUGUGUGAUGGCAGCAAGAAAACUUUUAGCCAAGUUGCUGCCUUCAGGGAACCGGGAGAACGUAGGGAAAAUAAACAAACCGACAAGAAAAGUUGAAGUAUACGCAUGCCAACAAAUCUCAAAAUGCAAGCCGCAUUUUGGACACGCUGCCCCAUCCUGGUCAGAGUGCACACUAAGGAUUGCAGAAUUUGGCUGGAAUAGAGUACAUAAUUUACUUUUCUCCACCAA